UCUACGGGAUGCAGCAGUGGGGAAUUUUGCGCAAUGCUCGUAAGAGUGAAGCAGCGACGCCGCGUGAAUGACGAAGGCCUUCGGGACGUAAAGUUCUUUCGACAGGGAAGAAAAUGCCUAUAUGUAACUGUGUAUGUAUUGACGGUACCUGUAUAAGCAGCCCCGGCUAACUCCGUUCCAGCAGCCGCGGUAAUACGGGGGGGGCGCGCUUUGUUCGGAGUGACUGGGAGUAAAGGGCAGGUAGGCGGUGUUGUAAGUCAUUAGUCAAAGACUAGAGCUCAACUUUAGUAAGGCUAGUGAUACUAUAAUACUAGAGUAGCAGAGAGGAUGGCAGAAUUCCUGGUGUAGCGGUGAAAUGCGUAGAUAUCAGGAGGAAUACCGUUAGCGAAGGCGGCAAUCUGGCUGGAAACUGACGCUGAGGUGCGAAAGCGUGGGUAGCAAACAGGAUUAGAUACCCUUGUAGUC
rnacentral:rRNA from 1 species